rnacentral:rRNA from 1 species
UUUUGAACGCGAAGAACCUUACCUGGUCUUGACAUCCACGGAAGUUUUCAGAGAUGAGAAUGUGCCUUCGGGAACUGUGAGACAGGUGCUGCAUGGCUGUCGUCAGCUCGUGUUGUGAAAUGUUGGGUUAAGUCCCGCAACGAGCGCAACCCUUAUCCUUUGUUGCCAGCGGUCCGGCCGGGAACUCAAAGGAGACUGCCAGUGAUAAACUGGAGGAAGGUGGGGAUGACGUCAAGUCAUCAUGGCCCUUACGACCAGGGCUACACACGUGCUACAAUGGCGCAUACAAAGAGAAGCGACCUCGCGAGAGCAAGCGGACCUCAUAAAGUGCGUCGUAGUCCGGAUUGGAGUCUGCAACUCGACUCCAUGAAGUCGGAAUCUGUAGUAAUCGUGGAUCAGAAUGCCACGGUGAAUACGUUCCCGGGUCUUGUACACACGCAAA